GAGGAAAUUAAUCUAAUAACUAAUCAAAAGCCCUUUGGAUGUUGGGAAGGAUGCUGCAAGAACAUCUGUAAAGCUCUUUUUUUCUCUCUUUUUCAGUCUGUAGUUCUGACUUUCUCAAGGAAUCCCGAAGCUGGUACUUGCUUGUGCAGAUGAUCCCCCAGAUGUAGACCUCUGGACUGAUCUCCCUAAGAGCAGCACCAGCAUAGUCUGGGUUUUAUGGAAAUCAGCACAUGGGCAUCACACACCUUCUGGAUAUGAAGCUGCCUUUGUGUACAGAAGUUGCAGUUAAUACUUACCUUUGAC
rnacentral:lncRNA from 1 species